GACGAACGCUGGCGGCGUGCUUAACACAUGCAAGUCGAACGGAAAGGCCCUGCUUUUGUGGGGUGCUCGAGUGGCGAACGGGUGAGUAACACGUGAGUAACCUGCCCUUGACUUUGGGAUAACUUCAGGAAACUGGGGCUAAUACCGGAUAGGAGCUCCUGCUGCAUGGUGGGGGUUGGAAAGUUUCGGCGGUUGGGGAUGGACUCGCGGCUUAUCAGCUUGUUGGUGGGGUAGUGGCUUACCAAGGCUUUGACGGGUAGCCGGCCUGAGAGGGUGACCGGCCACAUUGGGACUGCGAUACGGCCCAGACUCCUACGGGAGGCAGCAGUGGGGAAUAUUGCACAAUGGGCGGAAGCCGGAUGCAGCAACGCCGCGUGCGGGAUGACGGCCUUCGGGUUGUAAACCGCUUUCGCCUGUGACGAAGCGUGAGUGACGGUAAUGGGUAAAGAAGCACCGGCUAACUACGUG
rnacentral:rRNA from 1 species